rnacentral:rRNA from 1 species
UGAGCAAUCUGCCCUUCUCAUCGGAAUAAGCGUUGGAAACGACGUCUAAUGCCGAAUACGACCUCCUUUCGCAUGAUCGGAGGUGGAAAGCUCCGGCGGAGAAGGAUGAGCUCGCGGCCUAUCAGCUAGUUGGUGUGGGUAAUGGCCCACAAGGCGACGACGGGUAGCCGACCUGAGAGGGUGACCGGCCACACGUGGGACUGAGACACGGCCAGACUCCGUACGGGAGCAG